rnacentral:rRNA from 1 species
AGAGUUUGAUCAUGGCUCAGGAGAAGCUGGCGGCGUGCCUAAUACAUGCAAGUCGAGCGGACUUGACAGAGCUUGCUCUGUUCAAGUUAGCGGCGGACGGGUGAGUAACACGUGGGCAACCUGCCCUGCAGAUUGGGAUAACUCCGGGAAACCGGGGCUAAUACCGAAUAACAUUGGAAACCUCAUGGUUUCCUUUUAAAAGGCGGCUUCGGCUGUCACUGCAGGAUGGGCCCGCGGCGCAUUAGCUAGUUGGUGAGGUAACGGCUCACCAAGGCGACGAUGCGUAGCCGACCUGAGAGGGUGAUCGGCCACACUGGGACUGAGACACGGCCCAGACUCCUACGGGAGGCAGCAGUAGGGAAUCUUCCGCAAUGGACGAAAGUCUGACGGAGCAACGCCGCGUGAGUGAAGAAGGUUUUCGGAUCGUAAAACUCUGUUGUCAGGGAAGAACAAGUACGGUAGUAACUGCCCGUACCUUGACGGUACCUGGCCAGAAAGCCACGGCUAACUACGUGCCAGCAGCCGCGGUAAUACGUAGGUGGCAAGCGUUGUCCGGAAUUAUUGGGCGUAAAGCGCGCGCAGGCGGCCCUUUAAGUCUGAUGUGAAAGCCCCCGGCUCAACCGGGGAGGGUCAUUGGAAACUGGAAGGCUUGAGUGCAGAAGAGAAGAGCGGAAUUCCACGUGUAGCGGUGAAAUGCGUAGAGAUGUGGAGGAACACCAGUGGCGAAGGCGGCUCUUUGGUCUGUAACUGACGCUGAGGCGCGAAAGCGUGGGGAGCGAACGGGAUUAGAUACCCCCGUAGUCC